rnacentral:rRNA from 1 species
UACGUAGGGGGCAAGCGUUGUCCGGAUUUAUUGGGCGUAAAGAGCUCGUAGGUGGUUCGGUAAGUCGGAUGUGAAAUCUCCAGGCUCAACCUGGAGGGGUCAUUCGAUACUGCCGUGACUAGAGGUCGGUAGGGGAGUGUGGAAUUCCUGGUGGAGCGGUGAAAUGCGCAGAUAUCAGGAGGAACACCCGUAGCGAAGGCGGCACUCUGGGCCGAUACUGACACUGAGGAGAGAAAGCGUGGGGAGCGAACAGG